AUGCACGCUGGCGGCGUGCCUAAUCCAUGCCGGUCGAGCGAACGGACGAGAAGCUUGCUUCUCUGAUGUUAGCGGCGGACGGGUGAGUAACACGUGGAUAACCUACCUAUAAGACUGGGAUAACUUCGGGAAACCGGAGCUAAUACCGGAUGAUAUUUUGAACCGCAUGGUUCAAAAGUGAAAGACGGUCUUGCUGUCACUUAUAGAUGGAUCCGCGCUGCAUUAGCUAGUUGGUAAGGUAACGGCUUACCAAGGCAACGAUGCAUAGCCGACCUGAGAGGGUGAUCGGCCACACUGGAACUGAGACACGGUCCAGACUCCUACGGGAGGCAGCAGUAGGGAAUCUUCCGCAAUGGGCGAAAGCCUGACGGAGCAACGCCGCGUGAGUGAUGAAGGUCUUCGGAUCGUAAAACUCUGUUAUUAGGGAAGAACAUAUGUGUAAGUAACUGUGCACAUCUUGACGGUACCUAAUCAGAAAGCCACGGCUAACUACGUG
rnacentral:rRNA from 1 species